UGCAGGCCUUUGCUGCUUUCAGCUUGCAAAAGUAUCCUUUUGUUCUUGAGACCGCCCCUUUUCCCGGGGAUGAAAUCUCCAUUUUGAAAAGCCUUUUUGCUUUUUUGCAGAAAAGAAAGGAUCUCAGAUGUGCUUGUAAUCAAGGCCAGCUCAGACAAGCCAUCCUAGAAUAUAUCUUUAAAACAUCAGGAGAAUCCACCCCUUUGAAAUGUGAUGCUGGAGAAGAGUGCAACAGAAACCACGGACAACCACGGACAACAGCAACAAAGAAUACAUUUGUCCCAAUGCCAAAAUUUAUCACUACAAGCCAAAAUGAGGCUAUCAUACUUUGGAGAAAUCACGAGAAACAUGACUCAAUAGAAAAUGCAAUAAUGCUCAGAAAAAAAUGGGAAAAUGUUAACAAGGCAUUUGCCAGAUCUUAGAAGACUUAAAAACAAAAUAGCAUUACUGCUUGCUUAUUAACAUUAACAUAUUAUUAACAUAAUAUGCUGGUCUCCAGAAAGGCUUAAAGAAUGGGAUACUAACUCUGCAAAUAAAAUAUCUGUGCAGUCCA